CCGCCGGCGGCCCACCAAACUCUCUGUUUUUAGAACGUACCUCUUCUGAGAGACUUAUAAACAAAAAAUGAAUCAAAACUUUCAACAACGGAUCUCUUGGUUCUGGCAUCGAUGAAGAACGCAGCGAAAUGCGAUAAGUAAUGUGAAUUGCAGAAUUCAGUGAAUCAUCGAAUCUUUGAACGCACAUUGCGCCCGCUGGAAUUCCAGCGGGCAUGCCUGUUCGAGCGUCAUUUCAACCCUCAAGCCUGGCUUGGUGUUGGGGCGCUACCCGUCAAACGGUAGGCCCUCAAAUUCAGUGGCGGGCUCGCUAAGAUUCUGAGCGUAGUAGUUUUAAAUCACCUCGCUCCGGAAGGAUUAGCGGUGCGCUUGCCGU
rnacentral:rRNA from 1 species